GAACGCUAGCUACAGGCUUAACACAUGCAAGUCGAGGGGCAGCAUGGUCUUAGCUUGCUAAGGCCGAUGGCGACCGGCGCACGGGUGAGUAACACGUAUCCAACCUGCCGUCUACUCUUGGACAGCCUUCUGAAAGGAAGAUUAAUACAAGAUGGCAUCAUGAGUCCGCAUGUUCACAUGAUUAAAGGUAUUCCGGUAGACGAUGGGGAUGCGUUCCAUUAGAUAGUAGGCGGGGUAACGGCCCACCUAGUCUUCGAUGGAUAGGGGUUCUGAGAGGAAGGUCCCCCACAUUGGAACUGAGACACGGUCCAAACUCCUACGGGAGGCAGCAGUGAGGAAUAUUGGUCAAUGGGCGAGAGCCUGAACCAGCCAAGUAGCGUGAAGGAUGACUGCCCUAUGGGUUGUAAACUUCUUUUAUAAAGGAAUAAAGUCGGGUAUGCAUACCCGUUUGCAUGUACUUUAUGAAUAAGGAUCGGCUAACUCCGUGCCAGCAGCCGCGGUAAUACGGAGGAUCCGAGCGUUAUCCGGAUUUAUUGGGUUUAAAGGGAGCGUAGAUGGAUGUUUAAGUCAGUUGUGAAAGUUUGCGGCUCAACCGUAAAAUUGCAGUUGAUACUGGAUAUCUUGAGUGCAGUUGAGGCAGGCGGAGUUCGUGGUGUAGCGGUGAAAUGCUUAGAUAUCACGAAGAACUCCGAUUGCGAAGGCAGCCUGCUAAGCUGCAACUGACAUUGAGGCUCGAAAGUGUGGGUAUCAAACAGGAUUAGAUACCCUGGUAGUCCACACGGUAAACGAUGAAUACUCGCUGUUUGCGAUAUACAGCAAGCGGCCAAGCGAAAGCGUUAAGUAUUCCACCUGGGGAGUACGCCGGCAACGGUGAAACUCAAAGGAAUUGACGGGGGCCCGCACAAGCGGAGGAACAUGUGGUUUAAUUCGAUGAUACGCGAGGAACCUUACCCGGGCUUAAAUUGCAGAUGAAUUACGGUGAAAGCCGUAAGCCGCAAGGCAUCUGUGAAGGUGCUGCAUGGUUGUCGUCAGCUCGUGCCGUGAGGUGUCGGCUUAAGUGCCAUAACGAGCGCAACCCUUGUUGUCAGUUACUAACAGGUUCCGCUGAGGACUCUGACAAGACUGCCAUCGUAAGAUGUGAGGAAGGUGGGGAUGACGUCAAAUCAGCACGGCCCUUACGUCCGGGGCUACACACGUGUUACAAUGGGGGGGUACAGAGGGCCGCUACCACGCGAGUGGAUGCCAAUCCCAAAAACCUCUCUCAGUUCGGACUGGAGUCUGCAACCCGACUCCACGAAGCUGGAUUCGCUAGUAAUCGCGCAUCAGCCACGGCGCGGUGAAUACGUUCCCGGGCCUUGUACACACCGCCCGUCAAGCCAUGGGAGCCGGGGGUACCUGAAGUGCGUAACCGCGAGGAGCGCCCUAGGGUAAAACUGGUGACUGGGG
rnacentral:rRNA from 1 species